rnacentral:lncRNA from 1 species
AUAAGACAACCCAAUUAAAAUAAAAGAAACUGGGCCCAAUCAAUUAAAUCUGCAGCCCACAUAAUUUAAAGAAUUGGCCCAAAGAAAAUAAAAUACAAGACCCAAAUGAAUUAAUAAAAGGCCCAAAUCACAGCCCAAAUACUAAAAUAAAUAAAGCCCAAAGAAUUGGCCCAACUCCAUCUUCUUCUCCCUCAAACACGGUCCAUACUAUUCUCUCACCCACACAAUUUCAGAUCUCUCUCUCUCUUCAAAGAAACGCACACACAGACGCACAUCUC